CAGGUGACAUGGGAAUCUGACUCAUGUU
rnacentral:piRNA from 1 species